UGGGGAAUUUUGGACAAUGGGCGAAAGCCUGAUCCAGCAAUGCCGCGUGUGUGAAGAAGGCCUUCGGGUUGUAAAGCACUUUUGUCCGGAAAGAAAUCCUUGGCUCUAAUACAGUCGGGGGAUGACGGUACCGGAAGAAUAAGCACCGGCUAACUACGUGCCAGCAGCCGCGGUAAUACGUAGGGUGCAAGCGUUAAUCGGAAUUACUGGGCGUAAAGCGUGCGCAGGCGGUUUGCUAAGACCGAUGUGAAAUCCCCGGGCUCAACCUGGGAACUGCAUUGGUGACUGGCAGGCUAGAGUAUGGCAGAGGGGGUAGAAUUCCACGUGUAGCAGUGAAAUGCGUAGAGAUGUGGAGGAAUACCGAUGGCGAAGGCAGCCCCCUGGGCCAAUACUGACGCUCAUGCACGAAAGCGUGGGGAGCAAACAGGAUUAGAUACCCUGGUAGUCCACGCCCUAAACGAUGUCAACUAGUUGCUGGGGAUUCAUUUCCUUAGUAACGUAGCUAACGCGUGAAGUUGACCGCCUGGGGAGUACGGUCGCAAGAUUAAACUC
rnacentral:rRNA from 1 species